AAAUAAAAAUGUUAUGUUUUGCUCAAUUUUUGUUUUUUUUUUCCUUAUGUUUUGCUUAAAUAUAUAUUAAAAUAUAUUUAUAAAACCGUCACUUCCAUCAAAAUCGAAACUGGAAGAAAAUUUGAGAGACUAAUUUGACCACAAUAAUCCGGCACAUUAUAAUGAGAGUAAAAUAACACACAAUAAUCCAGUUAUAUAUAAAAAGUCUUACUGUAUGUUGAAAGUUAUGUACAAAAUAUUAAUUAGAUAAUGAUUUACAUAUUAAAAACCUCGGACAUUGGUGGUUGUCUGUCGGUUCGGCCAAUGACAUUGUACUUACACCAGUUGGCUAUUGGCCGACCGAGAUCUUUACUUGCCUCAACAAUUAUGCAGAAGAGGUGAAAUGGGGCGGUGAGAUAGUAAACGCCAAUUUAUCUGGCCGACACACGACUACUCAGAUGGGAUCUGGAUACCUUUCGAAUAGUGCCAAAACUGCUUAUAUGCGCGAUCUGGAAAUCGUGGUUAACAACCGUGAUUUCCAGCCGAUUGACGAUUUUAUAGUGGGAGCUACGAACACCGCUUACUACGAUGCCAAGAAGUCAAGCAACACGAGUUUUUCAUACAGGGGACCUAUGCAUGCAGGAGCGGUUCACAUUAUUCUUGAUUCGACAAUUUUUUUUUUUUGCAUCAGUCUUUUCUUGUUUUUUUAGAUUUUUUUUUUUUUUUCAAUCUCUAUUCAGUUUGUCGUUGACAAAACUCAAUAAUGUUUACUUUAUUAGUUUCUAGUGAUUGCCUAUCUUCUCCUCCAUUCACCCAAGUCUGAUAGUCGUCAAAGCUCCUCUAAUAAAUGCAAUUAGUAUACUCAAACUGUCUACAUAUUUUAGUCUAUCGUUGUCAAAUAAUAUUUACAUACAUAUGUUACAUACAGAAUCAUCACAACCUAUGUGAAAAAUAUAUAUCAAGGCGGAUUCAAUGAUGUUGCCAGAUAUCUAUAAUUUCUCCAUUUCGCAUAACUACUCUUUGUCUCUUUCGCUACAUAUGUUAAUUUUCAGUUUUUUUUUUUUUUGUAGUAAAAGAAACCAUGUUAUGUUUAUUAGAAAGAUCACUUUUACAAAGAAGAAAAAUAUCUACAACGCAUCAAUAAAUUGGUGAUUAACUUUCUUUGCAUUAGACGUAUUUUCACAAAACAAACACCACUGAAUUGCUAUGUUUAGACCCAUUGCUAGCCGAUUCACAUAUUUAGGGCAUAAUUUGUUGAGCUGUUAAUGUGGAAUAUAUUUUAGAAAGUUUAAAGAAAAACAAUAACACAAAAAAAGAAGGAAAAAAAAAUGACUUUGAGUAACUUCAGGAAAUGUGAGACAUUUU
rnacentral:sRNA from 1 species